rnacentral:lncRNA from 1 species
CCAUCCUCACUCCCUCAUUGAAAAGGUGAAAGGAUCCACAAGCAUGAAUACUUUUACACUCCACCAUCGAUGCUAAACUAGUAAUUUAAAAUUUAGUAGAGUCAAAGGGAAAAGCCAAGAUGAAACACUGGAGAGAAGAGGGGCACUGAUACCACAUGGCUUUUGUGAGAGGAAACCUUCUGACUCGACAGUUCUUUGUGCUACAACCAGCACUGGCAUGA